GGGCCUGGGUGGUCAAAGGGAGAUUCUUUCAUUACUGAUGCAGCAUUUACAACAAAGGUGAAACUACUGUAAAUUAAAUAAACCUUAACAAAUGCCUGUGUUCCGUAUGGUCAAUGAAUUUACAUUUACAGUAGACAGUUUGGUCAAUCCAUUCUUAGGUUAUGUCCACUUUACUACAUUACCACAUUUACUUUAAAUGAAAAUGAUCUCUGUGUUUUCACGUCAUUUACAAAAGUAAAUUCAUCUACACUAAAAUGACUGCAAAUGUUUAUGAUGCAAAUGUUUUCCAAUAUUGGGCACCCAUGCAUUGACGGAAAAAAAUCCUUGAAGUGGUGGUAAAGCCACUGGCCAUGGGGUUUAUCACAAAACUGUAAUGGCCGGUAAAUUAUUUGUGCAUGUAUGCAGCAUUCAGACACAAUUUAGAAGCAUACAGGUAAGCAACAUGCACUAUGGAAAGCAACUCCUCUAUGUCUGCUAUUUUCGAAUAUGGUUUUCUUCUGUAAUGUUUUCCACUACAUUUCCAGAAAUGCCCACUUGAGAGGGGUAUACCACCAAACACUGGCUAAAUAUAAGGGCAACACA